GAUGAACGCUGGCGGCGUGCCUAAUACAUGCAAGUCGAGCGAACAGACGAGGAGCUUGCUCCUCUGACGUUAGCGGCGGACGGGUGAGUAACACGUGGAUAACCUACCUAUAAGACUGGGAUAACUUCGGGAAACCGGAGCUAAUACCGGAUAAUAUGUUGAACCGCAUGGUUCAAUAGUGAAAGACGGUUUUGCUGUCACUUAUAGAUGGAUCCGCGCCGCAUUAGCUAGUUGGUAAGGUAACGGCUUACCAAGGCAACGAUGCGUAGCCGACCUGAGAGGGGGAUCGGCCACACUGGAACUGAGACACGGUCCAGACGCCUACGAGAGGCAGCAGUAGGGAAUCGUCCGCAAUGGGCGAAAGCCUGACGGAGCAACGCCGCGUGAGUGAUGAAGGUCUUCGGAUCGUAAAACUCUGUUAUUAGGGAAGAACAAAUGUGUAAGUAACUAUGCACGUCUUGACGGUACCUAAUCAGAAAGCCACGGCUAACUACGUG
rnacentral:rRNA from 1 species